GCUGGAUUCGCUAGUAAUCGCGCAUCAGCCAUGGCGCGGUGAAUACGUUCCCGGGCCUUGUACACACCGCCCGUCAAGCCAUGGGAGCCGGGGGUGCUUGAAGUGCGUCGCCGCAAGGCGCGCCCUAGAGCAAAACCGGUGACGUGGGGCUAAGUCGUAACAAGGUAAC
rnacentral:rRNA from 1 species